GGAGAGAUGCCGGAGUGGUCGAACGGGGCGGUCUCGAAAACCGUUGUGCGCUAUGCGCACCGAGGGUUCGAACCCCUCUCUCUCCGCAA
rnacentral:tRNA from 1 species